AAGUCGUAACAAGGUUUCCGUAGGUGAACCUGCGGAAGGAUCAUUAUUGAACUUUGAAAUCUUGUGGUUUGUAAAGUCUGAGCUGACUCUUCACAGAGUAUGUGCUCGUCUUUGCAGCCGCAACUCUUCUUUGUCCACCUGUGCACCUUUUGUAGACUCUGGAUAACUAUCGCUUAACCCUAGGGUCAAGGCGGAUUUCUGACUCGAGAAUUUUGUUCCCUUGUCAGUGCCUUCCAGAGUCUAUGUCUUAUAUUAUCUCAGUAUGUUUAGAAUGUCUUUGAUUACUGGACUUUUGUCCUUUAAUAAAUCAAUACAACUUUUAACAACGGAUCUCUUGGCUCUCGCAUCGAUGAAGAACGCAGCGAAAUGCGAUAACUAAUGUGAAUUGCAGAAUUCAGUGAAUCAUCGAGUCUUUGAACGCACCUUGCGCCCUUUGGUAUUCCGAAGGGCAUGCCUGUUUGAGUGUCAGUAAAUUCUCAACCCCUCUUACUUUAUUGUGACGAGGUGGAUUGGAUGUGGAGGUUGCUGGAUGUUUUAACGUUCAGCUCUUCUGAAAUGUAUUAGCAGAACCAUGACUUGGGCUUGCUAAGCGGUGAUAAUAUCUAAGCUUACGGGUUCAAGGAGAUGUAGAGCUCGGGAUUGAGGGGUUGCUGUCCACAGCUCCCUUUGCCUUCUCACUUGUUGAGAUACCUAUGCGACUCUACUGAGGAUUUCAGCUUCUAACUGUCUGUAAAAAGACAAUCAACUGACUAUUUGACCUCAAAUCAGGUAGGACUACCCGCUGAACUUAAGCAUAUCAAUAAGCGGAGGAAAAGAAACUAACAAGGAUUCCCCUAGUAACUGCGAGUGAAGAGGGAAAAGCUCAAAUUUAAAAUCUAGCAGCUUUGCUGUCCGAGUUGUAAUUUAGAGAAGUGUUACCCGCGUUGGACCGUGUACAAGUCUCCUGGAACGGAGCGUCAUAGAGGGUGAGAAUCCCGUCUUUGACACGGACUACCAAGGCUUUGUGGUACGCUCUCAAAGAGUCGUGUUGUUUGGGAAUGCAGCACUAAAUGGGUGGUAAAUUCCAUCUAAAGCUAAAUAUUGGCGAGAGACCGAUAGCAAACAAGUACCGUGAGGGAAAGAUGAAAAGAACUUUGGAAAGAGAGUUAAACAGUACGUGAAAUUGUUAAAAGGGAAACGCUUAAAGUCCAGUCGCGUUGGUUGGAAAUCAGUCUUGCUUUUUUGCUUGAUGUACUUUCUAAUUGACGGGUCAGCAUCAGUUUUGAUCGUUGGAUAAAGGUUGAGGGAAUGUGGCAUCCUCGGAUGUGUUAUAGCCCUUGAUUGUAUACAACGGUUGGGACUGAGGAACUCAGCACGCCGAAAGGCCGGGUCUUGUACCACGUUCGUGCUUAGGAUGUUGGCAUAAUGGCUUUAAUCGACC
rnacentral:rRNA from 1 species